rnacentral:rRNA from 1 species
GAUGAACGCUGGCGGCGUGCCUAAUACAUGCAAGUCGAGCGAACAGAUGAGGAGCUUGCUCCUCUGACGUUAGCGGCGGACGGGUGAGUAACACGUGGAUAACCUACCUAUAAGACUGGGAUAACUUCGGGAAACCGGAGCUAAUACCGGAUAAUAUAUUGAACCGCAUGGUUCAAUAGUGAAAGACGGUUUUGCUGUCACUUAUAGAUGGAUCCGCGCCGCAUUAGCUAGUUGGUAAGGUAACGGCUUACCAAGGCAACGAUGCGUAGCCGACCUGAGAGGGUGAUCGGCCACACUGGAACUGAGACACGGUCCAGACUCCUACGGGAGGCAGCAGUAGGGAAUCUUCCGCAAUGGGCGAAAGCCUGACGGAGCAACGCCGCGUGAGUGAUGAAGGUCUGCGGAUCGUAAAACUCUGUUAUUAGGGAAGAACAAAUGUGUAAGUAACUAUGCACGUCUUGACGGUACCUAGUCAGAAAGCCACGGCUAACUACGU